GGCGCAGUGGCCGCACAGCCGAGCCCGAAGGCGCCCGCCCGCGCUCUGGCUCCCGGGCCCGCCCGGCCGGCCGACCCCCGCCGCGAUGCCUUAGGGCCCCCUGGGCCAUCCGGAGGAGUCAGUCCCAGCCGCCAGCAGUUCCCAAGCAGCGCACAUGCGCCCGGUGGGCUCCCGCUCCGCCUCCGGCUCCUGCUGACGCACCUGGGAACCCCGUCCCCCAGCCUCCCCACCCGACGUCCUGGUCUGCAGCCCCCCGCCUGAGCCAUGGAGGCCCCCGAGGUCCCCGUGGGCUCGCUGAUUGACUUUGGGGCCGAGCCGUCUGCUUCCUCGCCACUGGAGGCGCCGCCCCCGAAGCUGCAGGAUGGGGAUAGCUCCCCGGGAGAGGGAGCCUCGGAGAGCGAGACCACGGAGUCCGCGGACAGCGAGAAUGACAUGGGCGAGUCUCCCUCUCACCCGUCCUGGGGCCAGUACCGCCGCUCCUCCUCCAACGAGUCCUUCUCCUCCAACCAGAGCGCUGACUCGGCCAAGGAUGAGGAGCUGCUCGAGCUCCGCGAGUUCAUGCGCGGCUACGUGGAGAAGAUCUUCUCUGGAGGGGAGGACUUGGACCAGGAGGAGAAAGCCAAGUUUGGCGAGUACUGCAGCAGCGAGAAUGGGAAAGGCCGGGAAUGGUUUGCCCGGUAUGUGAGCGCCCAGCGCUGCAACUCCAAGUGCGUCUCAGAGCCCACCUUCUACCGCCUGGUGCAGUCCUUCGCGGUGGUCCUGUUCGAGUGUCACCAGAUGGAUGACUUCGGGCCCGCCAAGAACCUCAUGACCAUGUGCUUCACCUACUACCACAUCGGUAAACCGCACCUGCUCCCCACGGAGUCCAAGGAGAAGCCGACUGGGAGCAUCGACUCCUACCUGAAGUCAGCCAACAGCUGGUUGGCGGAAAAGAAGGACAUUGCUGAGCGGCUGCUGAAGAACACGUCGGCCAAGACGGAGAAUGUCAAGGGCUUCUUUGGGCUGGAGACCAAGCCCAAGGGACCCCCAGUCAGGAGGAGCGAGGAGGAAGAGGGCAGACCCCAGGAGAAGCCGCGGAAGACGGUGACUGUGUGCAGCCCGGAAGAGGAGAGGAAAGGAGAGAAGAUCUACCUGUACACACACCUGAAGCAGCAGCCCAUCUGGCACACACUGAGGUUCUGGAAUGCAGCUUUUUUUGAUGCUGUCCACUGUGAGAGGAGAAAGCGGUCUCCCACGACCAGAGGGGAUGCUGGAGAGGAGGAGAAGAAGAGGGAGCGGUGGUGCCACAUGACCCAGGAGGAGCGGGAUGACAGCCUGCGGUUCAACGAGAACAUCACCUUUGGGCAGCUGGGGCUGCCUAUUGGGCCCCCGGCUCCCUUCCCUCCCCACCCCCCGCCGCCCCAGGAGGUGGGGGGGGUGCCAGCUCACGGCCAUGUCCCCCCAGCACGUUUACGCACAACAUGCUGGCGUUCGGGCUGAACAAGAAGUUGUGCAAUGACUUUCUGAAGAAGCAGGCAGUGAUCGGCAACCUGGACGAGGAGCAGUACAAGCUGCUGAGCGACCACAUCGAGCAGAUGGCCACUGAGUAGGCCACAGGAGGUGGCCCGAGACGCCCCCAGGAGGACUGCAGCUGGCUGUCACCCCCUCUGCAUGACAUCGGCAGCACCUACGCCGCCCUAGAACUAGCGGUUAGAAGAAUCUGGUUGCCCGUCCUCCCCGCCUCCCUCUGCCUGUGUCUGCUCCCCACCUGCGUGCCAAAGUGCCCCUGGGAUUACACAGCUAAAACCGAGGUGACUGUCCAUACCCCCGAGUGGCAGGCCUGCGAUCUGGGACUGAGGGGGCACAGAAGGAAGGAUGCUGGGUCCCAGGCGGGCACGUGUCCAUCACAGCCUCCUGCUGAGAAGAUGGGGAGUGUGGGAAGGUAGGGAAGGACAGAUGUGAGCUGGCACACGUCAGUCCCAUGCCAGUGACAUGGGAUAGUUGGGAGUAAGGAUCUGGGCCCCUCCCUGCAGGGCGGGACUGGGUUCCUUCCACAGCCAAGCAGAGCGGAGGUGGCCUCUGAGUGUCAAUCUGGGCUGGUACUGGGUCUCCUUUCUGUGUGACAGGAAGCUCCAGGAGGAGAGAGACACCCUCUGUUUCAGGGCAGUAGAGAGUCCGAGGCAGUGGAUGGCUUUCUUGGCUGCAGAAGUCCCAGCCACAGUCAGGGGUGUGGGGUUCCAGGGACGUCACGGCUCCAAGUGGCUGUGUUGGACCCACGCGGCCCUCAGGUAUCUGUGUGAAGCAUCUGAGAUGUUCCUGGUCAGCUGACCGCUUGCUUCUGGGGCAGAGAGACUUCCACCACUCGCUCCCUGGGGCCGUCUUCAUCUGGCCAUGAUGAAGCCCAGAAAAGAGAUUUUUCUUCAGUAGCUUCAAGAGAUCUGCCCUUUCUAAAAGCAAACAGUGCUGCUCUUUAUCUUUAAAAGACAGAAAAAUCUGUGUCAGUUACAGGCAUUGUGGCCCAGGUGGCUUCUGGUGGGGACUGGGCGAUUCACAGGGUCAGGCUCCGGGGCACUGGCCUUGCGAGGCCGGCGGGGCUCUGUCCUUCCUGCCCUAGCCGUCCAUCCCGCGUUCCCGCUCCACCUCCUGCAGUACAACAGACAUGUCUGAGACUCUGCCCUGCAGGCGGCACUUCACAGGUUCCCUCAUGGGGGAUGCCUCCCUGGAACAUUCCAGAGAAGAGCGAGUGUUGGCUGAGCUGAGCAACGCACGUCCUGGUGAUCAUAAGAGAGGCGAUGGGAAACACGCGGGACUCGAGUGCACUGGUGUGAGAUGUCCUGCCAGGAGGCAGGGAGUGGGGGCUUGGGCUCCAGGAUCCCCGCUGUGUUCAUGAUGGCAGGCACACCCGUGUGUGCGUGUGUGUGUGUGUGUGUGUGUGUGUGUGUGUAUGCUGGCAGUCUCUCUGGCCACAUCUCUAAACAAAGCACAGUCAUGUGGCUGGUUUGCCUGUCCUGUGUGGGGGUAGGUCACGCCAGCUGGAUCGGAUAUGUCUCUCCUGAAUGCAGUUCAGAGAAAAUAACAUCCAGCUCACGAGUGUGCAGGCCCUCCUCCAGUGCCUCCUAGAGGCGAUGCUGCUCCUCCUAAGAUGUUCAGCAACCCCCUGAUGCUCUGUGCUGCCCCCCAUUGAAGUCAGGGCCAUGCCCAGUGAGCAGCUUGUCUGAGGCCCUUGAAGGGCCAUCUCUCCACUGCGUGUCAUUGGCUUUCUUAGUUUUUUCUUAGUGGUUAGUUGAAAUGCAUUAACAUUUUAUUCUAAGGUGCCCAAAAGACUUAUCCUUGUAUAUAUAUGAUUUGUGUAGAAGUGUGGUUCACUCUGAUUUCUGGAGGAAGACAGUAGCUUCCGGGUCUUUCCAGGGGUGCUGGGGAGUGGAGGGGUCUUUCCCCCUGGGUGGGGCGGGAGGACCCACGCAAACCAGGAAGGAAAUGCAGCUUUGACUUCUCUGGGCUUUUCCAAGCACUUUCACUUCAGGAUGAUCCUGAGACCUUUUUUUUUUCCCCAUAUAGGUCUCUUGCAAUAGCAGUUGAAGGUAGAAACAAGGGUGGCUUUGGGUCUUUUCCCCUCCCCUUAUUCAUAUAUUAAUAGAUCUAACUCCUGAGAGAGUAAGUCUGACCCCAAAACUGCUGCCGAAACACUGAGCCCCAUGAGGGGACACCACCAGAGACCACGGGCCUCACGGAGUGGCCGACGUCGAGGUGACUGGGAGGCUGCUCUGCUGUCUCCUCUUGGUGACUGUCUUUGUCUGAGCAUGUCACCUCAGGGUGUCUGGCCAGUAUCACCCAGAGGAGGCACAGUGUCCCUAGCAGAAGCUGGCUGCUUGCCUCGCUCACACUUCCUCUCUGUGACUUGAUCUUCCCUGUGAGGCCCGGCCAGAGCAGAUAGCCCCAGGCGGGUGCUCAGAGGUGCCAGUGUGUGCAGAAGUCUCACCCACCGCAUGCCCAGGAGGCUCUGCAGAAAGCGCUCUGCUGGCCCUUCCUGUACACUCAGGGACUUCCUGUAGACUUAGGCUCAGGGCAGGAAGCAUCGGGUCGCAUCCACAGGAGAGUUCCCCAUCCCAGCAUGUUCAGCGUUCCAAGCUGGAGCUUCAAAGGCCUGCGUUAGCAAUGACAUGGCGGGCCUCCUGCUGUCUGCCCUUCAGGGCUCUGUGAACGUAAUGAGCCCAGACAGCUGAUUCUCCCAAGCGAAAAAUACCCUGCUUUGCAAACAGGAUGCUGUUGAGAUGUGGCUUUGUGUAUCUUCAGCCUUUGUUAGAGUUCUAACAAUAUUGAUAGGUGUUUAAGCUGCUGCAAGAGGGACAUGCUAACAUUCAGAUUGUAUCUGCUGUGUGUGCAUGUUUAACCAAAGGCAGAAGAACCAAGUUCUGAUACUGUAAUUUAUUUGUACAGUGAAAUGAAGUAGACCGUGAUUUUCCUAUUGCCAAAAAAAAAAAAAAAAAGGAGCUCUUAAUUUACCAAAAGGAGGACUAGAAAGAGAGUUCAAUUUCUGAGAUUUGUGCUCCAGUGAAACCUCGGAGGGUCAAGGUCACAGGUGAGCCCAUGCUGGGUCAAGGAUGGAGACCCAAGGAUGGAGUUCGCGAUGCCGCCUGACCUCUUUCCUCCUUCCCGGAGCCAGGGCUCACCUGUCCCUCCCCAGUUAGAUGGUGACGUCCACUGCUGUGGAGAGAAGGUGGCAGUCUUGAGGUGUGUUUUUCUGCAGGCUGUUUUAAGUGGGUUAAUUUAUCACCCAGAGCACUGUAUCCUAGCCUCCUGAUGUGAGAAAAAGAUGUGUUCACACCACAAAGGAGUCUGUCAGGGAUUUUGUUGAACCCAGGUGACCACAACCAGAAGUCAGGGCCGCAGCUUUGAGCCUGACCUUCCUGGGUUUCACUGAGGCCUGACCGGUUGGCUUUUCAGUUAAGGAGCAUCUGGCAGGCCCAUGUGUGUGGUCAGAUAAGCUAUGUGGCCAAAUUACCUACAACUUGAGACAGCUGGGAAGCCAGGGGGCAGAGUCAUUUGCCAGAGGAGUGGGGACACUGGGAAGGAAGGGGCCGGGGAAGGGCCCUGCUGCAGCCUCAGGGGAGGGGGCAGCAGCUGGGCCAUCCCAGGCUGGUCACCCCGCUGGCUACUCACUUCUUCAGCCAGGGACAGAGCUGCGGGUUUGGGGGUCCACUGCCCCAGGGUUCUUCUUGUUCCCCCACCCACAGCCUUUUAAUUCCCUUGAGCCGCGGCUCCUACCACUCAGAGGUCUCCCCCCGUCUUCCUGUAAAUCGUUUAUUUCUUUUUAUGACUGUCAAGGGUGAGAGCUGCUUGACAAGCUUUUGACUCUCCCCCCUCCGCACUGCCCCCUGCAGGGGAAUGGUGUUGGCGACAGUUUCCCUAAUUGGCUGGUCUGUGACACUCAGACCUGGGCUGGAGCCCAGCCUUGCUCAAGCCACAUGCCACGGUACCUCCCUGUGGCCACAUGGCCAGGAGCAGGGCUAUGAGGGUUAUCCAGAUAGCAGACGGGGGGAGCAUUUCCAGAUGGUUCCCAUCCAGGUGUACCCAUCCAGGAGCAUCAAGAUGCUCCUCAUGGCUCCCCAGGCCUGUUCUGCCGCCAUCUCUCUGCUGUCCCUCCCCAGGCAAGCGCCUCAGACACGGUCUGCCUUGUCCCUAGGUGGCCUGGCUCUGGCCUGUGUCCCCAAGUCAGCUGGUCAGUCUGAGCUUGAGACGAGCGGAGAGCUGGGGAGAGGACCCUCCCCUUGGCUGUGUCCCCAGGAUUCAGGGGGGCCCUGUUCCUGCUGUAGAGUUCUCAGUCAGAACAGUCUGGGUUUGCUGUGUUCCCAUCACUUCUCACAGGAUCUCUGUGCAGGCGGGGAUGACCUGCAUCCUGACAUGUCCUGCAGGGUCAGACCAGGGUGCUGUUUCCCAUCACCCUCCUGAGUGGUGUGCUGAGCUCAGAGGAGGGCUCCUGCUGGUGAUGCCCCUUGGACCCUUAGGGGGGCUACAUCUGUCCUCUCCUUGGUCCAGGAUGAUACGCUUAUGGAAACAGUGCUCAGUGGGCUUUGUUCCAAUGCAUGGGCCCCACAUGAGGGCCCUGGUCUGUCCCUGUGCUGGAGGCUUGGAGUCCCAUGGACACCUUGAGAAGGACAGGCCAACUGAAGGAGAUGCUCACACUCAGAUGGCAGGCCCUUCCCCUUAAAAUGUGUUGGUGAGAGAGCUUCGUGGCCCUAACCAUGGCCUCUGGGCUGCAGGAGGGUCUCCCACGUGCUUUCCCUGUUUCUCUCCCACCCGUUAGUCUUGGACCCAAACAUCCCAUUGGCCACUUCCACACAUUGCCCUUAGUGACCCAGAAAUCAGGGUCAGUGAUUCGAGUGUGUUAUAUAUAUGGUUUCUCAGUCUUAUAUCCCAUGAGAUUAUGUUCUACAAACUGUGUUUUCAGGUGGAGAAAGUUUAAGAUUGAGCUCUCAAAACCGCGCUAAAAUCAAAGCUGUUUCCUGUGAAGAAAAAAAAAGUCCAUAUAUUGCACCUCAGAUUGUCAAAAGGUGGAAACUGAAAUAAAUUAUCUCUAAAAAGGAAGUCAGUCUGUUGAUGUUCAAUUUUUGUGCUCACAUACCCAUGAGCACCUUUUAAAAAUGGAAUUUGCAAUCUUCUCACUGACAGCAGUGGCUUUUCAGAAGGAACACUUUUCUGGGGUCAAAUAGUCAUUCUCCCCACUUAGGCCGAGCAGCUGAGUAUUAUGCAGAUGUGUGUGUGUCUCAUGGGAAGGCUAAUGGGCAGGAGCCGUGUCCACUGCGUUGCCAUCGGGCAUGUGUGAGUGCAUAGAGGAGCCUUGGCCCCUGGGAUGCCUCCACCCCCUUCCAGCUGGCAUCCUGGCCUUGCCUUUGAGCCCCAGCUGCCUCACUGUUUGUCUCUGGGGGCCGAAGGGCUGUGGGUGCCACUCCUGCCUGGCAGCAACAGGACACCUUCAUGCCAGUUCUCACAGCUCGGUCAACAGGCAUGUUUGGUGAAGUGGUCGACUUCCUCUCUUUCUGAUUAUAGGAGACCCUGAAAGUUAUGCUCCUGCCCUUGCUCACCCCUCCUCCCACCUCCUGGGCCCAAAGGAGGGAAACUAGGAAUUUUGCUGUCAUAGGAGAGAGCCCAUGAAGCUUGGCCAAUGCCCAACUCUGGAAUUAGGAACAAUUGGUCUUUUCCAGGCAUACUGGGACCAGACGGGGAGGGGAGAGGCCCCUUAUGCCAUCAACUUACCUUUAAUGAGCUCACACCAUGUGCCAGGUACCACCAGGCUCCAGGACCACAAGAUGAACAAGC